rnacentral:rRNA from 1 species
UACGUAGGGGGCUAGCGUUGUCCGGAAUCAUUGGGCGUAAAGAGCGUGUAGGCGGCCCGGUAAGUCCGCUGUGAAAGUCGGGGGCUCAACCCUCGAAUGCCGGUGGAUACUGUCGGGCUAGAGUACGGAAGAGGCGAGUGGAAUUCCCGGUGUAGCGGUGAAAUGCGCAGAUAUCGGGAGGAACACCAAUUGCGAAGGCAGCUCGCUGGGACGUUACUGACGCUGAGACGCGAAAGCGUGGGGAGCGAACAGG